UACAGAGGGGGCAAGUGUUGUUCGGAAUUACUGGGCGUAAAGGGCGCGUAGGCGGCCUGCUAAGUCGAACGUGAAAUCCCUGGGCUCAACCCAGGAACUGCGUCCGAUACUGGCAGGCUUGAAUCCGGGAGAGGGAUGCGGAAUUCCAGGUGUAGCGGUGAAAUGCGUAGAUAUCUGGAGGAACACCGGUGGCGAAGGCGGCAUCCUGGACCGGUAUUGACGCUGAGGCGCGAAAGCCAGGGGAGCAAACGGG
rnacentral:rRNA from 1 species